CGGAGGAAAAGAAACCAACAGGGAUUGCCCUAGUAACGGCGAGUGAAGCGGCAACAGCUCAAAUUUGAAAUCUGGCCUUCGGGUCCGAGUUGUAAUUUGUAGAGGAUGCUUUUGGUGCGGUGCCUUCCGAGUUCCCUGGAACGGGACGCCAUAGAGGGUGAGAGCCCCGUCUGGUUGGACACCAAUCCUCUGUAAAGCUCCUUCGACGAGUCGAGUAGUUUGGGAAUGCUGCUCUAAAUGGGAGGUAUAUGUCUUCUAAAGCUAAAUACCGGCCAGAGACCGAUAGCGCACAAGUAGAGUGAUCGAAAGAUGAAAAGCACUUUGAAAAGAGGGUUAAAUAGUACGUGAAAUUGUUGAAAGGGAAGCGCUUAUGACCAGACUUGAGCCCGGUUAAUCAUCCAGCCUUCUGGCUGGUGCACUUGGCCGGCUCAGGCCAGCAUCAGUUCGGCGCGGGGGAUAAAGGCUUCGGGAAUGUGGCUCCUCCGGGAGUGUUAUAGCCCGUUGUGUAAUACCCUGUACUGGACUGAGGUUCGCGCAUCUGCAAGGAUGCUGGCGUAAUGGUCAUCAGCGACCCGUCUUGAAACACGGACCAAGGAGUCGUCUUCGUAUGCGAGUGUUCGGGUGUCAAACCCCUACGCGUAAUGAAAGUGAACGCAGGUGAGAGCUUCGGCGCAUCAUCGACCGAUCCUGAUGUUCUCGGAUGGAUUUGAGUAAGAGCAUACGGAGCCGGACCCGAAAGAAGGUGAACUAUGCCUGUAUAGGGUGAAGCCAGAGGAAACUCUGGUGGAGGCUCGCAGCGGUUCUGACGUGCAAAUCGAUCGUCAAAUAUGGGCAUGGGGGCGAAAGACUAAUCGAACUUC
rnacentral:misc_RNA from 1 species